UAACCCAUCCGCUGCGAUUGGCAUGGAUUUCGCCUUCACUGGUAGCCUGGUAACAUACACUCCCAGGUCUUUCUCUGCCUCUGUGGUGGAUAGUGGAGUGUUUCCCAUGUGGUAUUGGUGUGCUGGAUAUCCCUUCACUGGUAGCCUGGUAACAUACACUCCCAGGUCUUUCUCUGCCUCUGUGGUGGAUAGUGGAGUGUUUCUCAUGUGGUAUUGGUAUGCUGGAUAUCCCUUCACUGGUAGCCUGGUAACAUACACUCCCAGGUCUUUCUCUGCCUCUGUGGUGGAUAGUGGAGUGUUUCCCAUGAGGUAUUGGUGUGCUGGAUAUCCCUUCACUGGUAGCCUGGUAACAUACACUCCCAGGUCUUUCUCUGCCUCUGUGGUGGAUAGUGGAGUGUUUCCCAUGUGGUAUUGGUGUGCUGGAUAUCCCUUCACUGGUAGCCUGGUAACAUACACUCCCAG